AUUGAACGCUGGCGGCAUGCCUUACACAUGCAAGUCGAACGGCAGCACGGGAGCAAUCCUGGUGGCGAGUGGCGAACGGGUGAGUAAUAUAUCGGAACGUGCCCAGUAGUGGGGGAUAGCCCGGCGAAAGCCGGAUUAAUACCGCAUACGACCUGUGGGUGAAAGCGGGGGAUCGCAAGACCUCGCGCUAUUGGAGCGGCCGAUAUCAGAUUAGCUAGUUGGUGGGGUAAAGGCCUACCAAGGCGACGAUCUGUAGCUGGUCUGAGAGGACGACCAGCCACACUGGGACUGAGACACGGCCCAGACUCCUACGGGAGGCAGCAGUGGGGGAUUUUGGACAAUGGGCGCAAGCCUGAUCCAGCAACGCCGCGUGAAUGAUGAAGGCCUCGGUCGUAAGU
rnacentral:rRNA from 1 species